rnacentral:rRNA from 1 species
GCAAGUCGAACGAAGUAGCAAUACUUAGUGGCAGACGGGUGAGUAACAUGUAGGUAUCUUCCCUUUGGUGAGGAAUAACACGAGGAAACUUGUGCUAAUACCUCAUAAGUCUUUACGGAGAAAGCUUUAUGCGCCAAUGGAUGAGCCUGCACUUGAUUAGUUUGUUGGUAGGGUAAUGGCCUACCAAGACAAUGAUCAAUAGCUGAUUUGAGAGGAUGAUCAGCCACAUUGGGACUGAGACACGGCCCAAACUCCUACGGGAGGCAGCAGUAGGGAAUCUUGCACAAUGGGGGGAACCCUGAUGCAGCGAUGCCGCGUGAGUGAAGAAGGCCUUUGGGUUGUAAAGCUCUUUCGUCGGGGAAGAAAAUGACUGUACCCGAAUAAGAAGGUCCGGCUAACUUCGUGCCAGCAGCCGCGGUAAUACGAAGGGACCUAGCGUAGUUCGGAAUUACUGGGCUUAAAGAGUUCGUAGGUGGUUAAAAAAGUUGGUGGUGAAAUCCCAGAGCUUAACUCUGGAACUGCCAUCAAAACUUUUUAGCUAGAGUAUGAUAGAGGAAAGCAGAAUUUCUAGUGUAGAGGUGAAAUUCGUAGAUAUUAGAAAGAAUACCAAUUGCGAAGGCAGCUUUCUGGAUCAUUACUGACACUGAGGAACGAAAGCAUGGGUAGCGAAGAGGAUUAGAUACCCUCGUAGUCCAUGCCGUAAACGAUGUGUGUUAGACGUUGGAAAUUUAUUUUCUGUGUCGCAGCGAAAGCAAUAAACACACCGCCUGGGGAGUACGACCGCAAGGUUAAAACUCAAAUGAAUUGACGGGGACCCGCACAAGUAGUGGAGCAUGUGGUUUAAUUCGAAGAUACGCGCAGAACCUUACCAACACUUGACAUGUUCGUCGCGACUUUAAGA